GUUGCGCCUCUACACACCUGCAGAAGGAUGCCGUCAUUAAUGUGGAAGUUAGCGAUGUAGUGUGAAAUGAAAUGGAUAUUUUCUUUACGACACCUGAACUCUGUAUAAUGUAUUUGUAUUCUAUGUUAUAAAUUAAUAUGAUAUAGUCUAUAGAAUAGCAGGGUUGUUAUUUAUUUAUUUAUUUUUUUAAAUGUAUUUAUUUUUAACCAUGUUUUCACAAGAAUCGAAUGAUCUCAUCAGAAGACCAGUUUCACCCGUUCUGCUGUUUUCAGGACCUGAGGCACUUCUGAAAAUGGCAUUCACAAGAACCGAAUUAUCUCAUCUGUUCAGUCACGAAGAAGGAUGUCCGGUCUAAUGGUCAGAGUACAGGAUAGAAGCGGCCGGGAGAAGCCCCCAUGAGCUGAAAUCCCUACUCAGCCUCUGACUCCCUGAGUGACCUUUGGUAAGCCUCUCAGCGCCUCUUCCAACUGCAGAACUGCGCAGGAGCAGAACCUCGAGCGUCAUGCAGUCCUGCUGAACAAUUUAAAAAUUGUUUGAAACCAUGUUUAAAAAAUUAAACUUAUUCUCUGAUGCAUUCAUAUUUUUAUUUGAACUCCCAACAAUAUCUGAACCUCUUAUUUUUUAAAUAAAUGGUGAUAAACAUUUCAGCUAGUACCAUCAUUAAUGUAAA